GACGAACGCUGGCGGCGUGCUUAACACAUGCAAGUCGAACGGAAAGGCCCUGCUUUUGUGGGGUGCUCGAGUGGCGAACGGGUGAGUAACACGUGAGUAACCUGCCCUUGACUUUGGGAUAACUUCAGGAAACUGGGGCUAAUACCGGAUAGGAGCUCCUGCUGCAUGGUGGGGGUUGGAAAGUUUCGGCGGUUGGGGAUGGACUCGCGGCUUAUCAGCUUGUUGGUGGGGUAGUGGCUUACCAAGGCUUUGACGGGUAGCCGGCCUGAGAGGGUGACCGGCCACAUUGGGACUGAGAUACGGCCCAGACUCCUACGGGAGGCAGCAGUGGGGAAUAUUGCACAAUGGGCGGAAGCCUGAUGCAGCAACGCCGCGUGCGGGAUGGCGGCCUUCGGGUUGUAAACCGCUUUCGCCUGUGACGAAGCGUGAGUGACGGUAAUGGGUAAGGAAGCACCGGCUAACUACGUG
rnacentral:rRNA from 1 species